rnacentral:rRNA from 1 species
UCAAGUAGAUAUACGAAGACAACCCGGGGAACUGAAACAUCUAAGUACCCGGAGGAAAAGAAAGCAAAAGCGAUUCCCCCAGUAGCGGCGAGCGAAAAGGGAACAGCCCAAACCGAUUCUUCGGAAUCGGGGUAGAGGACUUCCAAAAAGAAUGGAUGGUUAGCAGAAUGAUCUGGGAAGGUCAGUCGAAGAAGGUAAUAACCCUGUAUGCGAAAGCCAGAAAUUUGGGGAAGGAUCCGGAGUACCACGAAGCACGUGAAAUUUCGUGGGAAGCAGGGGGGACCACCCUCCAAGGCUAAAUACUCCUUAGUGACCGAUAGUGAACAAGUACCGUGAGGGAAAGGUGAAAAGAACCCCGGAAGGGGAGUGAAAAAGAACCUGAAACCGUAUGCUUACAAGCUGUCACAGCACCAUACGAGUGUAGUGGCGUACUUUUUGUAGAACGGACCGGCGAGUUACGAUGUCAAGCGAGGUUAAGAUGAGAAGUCGGAGCCGAAGCGAAAGCGAGUCUGAAGAGGGCGAAAGUUUGACAUAGUAGACCCGAAACCGGGUGAUCUACCCAUGAGCAGGAUGAAGCGUUAGUAAAAUAACGUGGAGGUCCGAACCAGGUAUCGUUGAAAAGAUAUUGGAUGACUUGUGGGUAGGGGUGAAAUUCCAAUCGAACCCGGAGAUAGCUGGUUCUCCUCGAAAUAGCUUUAGGGCUAGCCUUGAAUUAGAUUAUGGGAGGUAGAGCACUGAAUAGGCUAGGGGGCUUCACCGCCUACCGAACCUUAUCAAACUACGAAUGCCGAUAAUUGAUGUUCAGGAGUCAGACUGUGGGGGAUAAGCUUCAUGGUCAAAAGGGAAACAGCCCAGACCGCCGGCUAAGGUCCCAAAGUGUGUGUUAAGUGGAAAAGGAUGUGAAAUCGCUCAGACAACCAGGAUGUUGGCUCAGAAGCAGCCACCAUUAAAAGAGUGCGUAAUAGCUCACUGGUCCAGGGGUUUUGCGCCGAAAAUGUAACGGGGCUCAAACACACCACCGAAGCCGCGGAAUGUUUUAGGACAUUGGUAGAGGAGCGUUCUUAAUGCGACGAAGGCGUACCGAGAGGAGCGUUGGAGCGUUAAGAAGUGAGAAUGCCGGUAUUAGUAUGCGAAAAGGCAGGUGAGAAUCCUGCCCGCCGAAAAUCUAAGGAUUCCUGGGGAAGGCUCGUCCGCCCAGGGUAAGUCGGGACCUAAGGCGAGGCCGAAAGGCGUAGUCGAUGGGAAACUGGUAGAUAUUCCAGUACCAGCGGAGGUCAAUUGAGUGAAGUAGUGAAGCAGAAGGAUAGGGAGAGCGCCCGGUUGGUGAGGCGUUUAAGUAAGUAGGGUGAUGUGCAGGCAAAUCCACACAUCGAGAGCCUGAGAUACGAAUACGAGUGAAAACUAGUAGCGAAGUCCCCGAUUCCCGGCUGCCAAGAAAAGCUGCUAACGAGACCGAAGGUGCCCGUACCGCAAACCGACACAGGUAGAUGGGGUGAGAAACCUAAGGCGCGCGAGAAAACUCUUGUCAAGGAACUCGGCAAAAUGAACCCGUAACUUCGGGAGAAGGGUUGCUCAUUAGUGUGAGUAUCCGUGCGAUACAGAGCACAGAUGAGUCGCAGAGAAAAGGUCCAGGCGACUGUUUAGCAAAAACACAGGUCAUUGCAAAACCGCAAGGUGAAGUAUAAUGGCUGACGCCUGCCCGGUGCUGGAAGGUUAAGGGGAAGAGUGAGAGCUUUGAACCGAAGCCCCAGUAAACGGCGGCCGUAACUAUAACGGUCCUAAGGUAGCGAAAUUCCUUGUCGGGUAAGUUCCUACCCGCACGAAAGGCGUAACGAUCUGGAUACUGUCUCAACAAGGGACUCGGCGAAAUUGAAAUACCGGUAAAGAUGCCGGUUACCUGCGAUAGGACAGAAAGACCCCAUGGAGCUUUACUGUAGCCUGAUAUUGGGUUUUGGUUAUUAAUGUACAGAAUAGGUGGGAGACCGGGAAACAAACACGCCAGUGUGUGUGGAGUAGACGUGAGUAUACCACACUUAGAGGACAGAAAUUGUUUCGUAGUA